CCAGACUCCUACGGGAGGCAGCAGUGGGGAAUAUUGGGCAAUGGGGGAAACCCUGACCCAGCGACGCCGCGUGAGGGAAGAAGGUUUUCAGAUUGUAAACCUCUGUCCUUGGUGACGAUAAUGACGGUAGCCAAGGAGGAAGCCACGGCUAACUACGUGCCAGCAGCCGCGGUAAUACGGAGGAUGCGAGCGUUAUCCGGAUUUAUUGGGUUUAAAGGGUGCGUAGGCGGGCUUUUAAGUCAGCGGUAAAAAUUCGGGGCUCAACCCCGUCCGGCCGUUGAAACUGGGGGCCUUGAGUGGGCGAGAAGAAGGCGGAAUGCGUGGUGUAGCGGUGAAAUGCAUAGAUAUCACGCAGAACCCCGAUUGCGAAGGCAGCCUUCCGGCGCCCUACUGACGCUGAGGCACGAAAGUGCGGGGAUCGAACAGGAUUAGAUACCCGAGUAUC
rnacentral:rRNA from 1 species